CCUGCGGGGGGCUGCAGUAGGGAAUCUUCCACAAUGGACGAAAGUCUGAUGGAGCAACGCCGCGUGUGUGAUGAAGGGUUUCGGCUCGUAAAACACUGUUGUAAGAGAAGAAUGACAUUGAGAGUAACUGUUCAGUGUGUGACGGUAUCUUACCAGAAAGGAACGGCUAAAUACGUGCCAGCAGCCGUGGUAAUACGUAUGUUCCAAGCGUUAUCCGGAUUUAUUGGGCGUAAAGCGAGCGCAGACGGUUUGUUAAUCCCGAAUUAAAACCCCAAAGCUAAACUGUGAAAUGGCUUGGAAACUGGAUAACUUGAGUGCAGUAGAGGAGAGUGGAACUCCAUGUGUAGCGGUGAAAUGCGUAGAUAUAUGGAAGAACACCAGUGGCGAAGGCGGCUCUCUGGACUGUAACUGACGUUGAGGCUCGAAAGUGUGGGUAGCAAACAGGAUUAGAUACCCUUGUAGUC
rnacentral:rRNA from 1 species